rnacentral:tRNA from 1 species
GCGCAGGUGGCGAAAUUGGUACCCGCGCAGCCUUGAGGUGGCUGUGGUCGCAAGACCUUGGAGGUUCGAGUCCUCUCCUGCGCA